rnacentral:rRNA from 1 species
UCCGUAGGUGAACCUGCGGAGGGAUCAUUACCGAGUUUACAACUCCCAAACCCCUGUGAACAUACCACUUGUUGCCUCGGCGGAUCAGCCCGCUCCCGGUAAAACGGGACGGCCCGCCAGAGGACCCCUAAACUCUGUUUCUAUAUGUAACUUCUGAGUAAAACUAUAAAUAAAUCAAAACUUUCAACAACGGAUCUCUUGGUUCUGGCAUCGAUGAAGAACGCAGCAAAAUGCGAUAAGUAAUGUGAAUUGCAGAAUUCAGUGAAUCAUCGAAUCUUUGAACGCACAUUGCGCCCGCCAGUAUUCUGGCGGGCAUGCCUGUUCGAGCGUCAUUUCAACCCUCAAGCACAGCUUGGUGUUGGGACUCGCGUUAAUUCGCGUUCCCCAAAUUGAUUGGCGGUCACGUCGAGCUUCCAUAGCGUAGUAGUAAAACCCUCGUUACUGGUAAUCGUCGCGGCCACGCCGUUAAACCCCAACUUCUGAAUGUUGACCUCGGAUCAGGUAGGAAUACCCGCUGAACUUAAGCAUAUCAAUAAGCGGAGGA